AACAAGAACUAGAAGAAGAACAAGAAGAAAAAGAACAAGAAGAAAAGAAAAGAAAGAGAGUGGAAAGCAAUAAAAAGGGGAAUGAAAAGGAAAAGGAAAGGGUAGCGAAACAAGAGACAAAGACAACUGCUGAUGACGAUGGAGACAAGAGAAAAGGGGAAAGAAAAGAAAUAAACAAAACAAGAUGUGAUAAUGAAAAGGAACAUUACUACACAACGUCCACACAGGAUGGAGACACGAUGCAGUGGAUUCUCUAUGUUGUGGAAAUCGUGUCGGGGUUGCUCUUCAUCCUUUGUAUCAUCUGCCUACUGCGCAGAAGGAUUAAUUAUGGCUGAAAAUAGAAUCAGCAGAACCAACAGCAACAACAACAACUACAACAACAACGACAAUGACGCUAUCACAUCUGCUAACGCCU